GGGGGGUGGUGAACGGUGCUCUGUGAGGCCUCUGAUGAUCUUUGCGCUCUGAACGGAUGAGUGAACAGCACAGGACACAGAGAGGGGGUCGAGGGUCUCCCGCCCAGCGUGGCCGAGAAUGCAGCUUGUAGGAACCCCGCAGUAAUUCUCGGGGUCCCUAAAAAAACAACGUUUAUUCCCACCCACAGGGGAAGACGUCUUGCAAUUAGAAGGAAAUGGUAACCCCCCAACUUGCAAAGGAAGGCUGGUGGUACCUGAUAAAUAGAAAAGGCAAGAGUCUACUACGGACCAGGAGCGGAAAACCACGGACGCUUCUGAGAGUAAUUAAUCCCCACUGCACAGUCUCCUGUGCAGAGUUUGGAGGAAAAACUCUUCAGCAGAGUUUGGAGGAAAAGCCUUCAUUUGGAGCAAAUAGGUGGCAGGGAACAACUUGGACAGUGACUUUCCCUGCUGUGAUGAAUGAGGCCGCCUCCCAUCAGAAGGCAGAAGUGCCUACCGCUAGUGUGGGUGUUGGCUAGAAUCCUUUUCAUCUACGGGGAGACCUCACCAUAGCGUGCGAAGCGGUCUCCUCAGCACUUAACGGGGUAAUGAGAUCAAUGGAGUGAGGCUUCACGCUAGGUCAAUGACCAAUUAACCAGUGACGGUUUCAUUUUUGAGAAUGGUGUGAAUUACGGAGCUGGCGUGAUUCUUUUUCCAGAUCAAACCCAGAUGUCAACUCUCCUUAUUCGAUAGCCCAUUUUUUUCCCCACUAACUUAAAUGGCUUCUUAAAUUAUUUACUAAAAAUCUACACUGAUCUGGACCCUAUAGGUUUCAGGCUCUAUGUCAAUUGAUUAUUGGUCUGCUGCUGCGUCAUUGACACGCUUUGAAAAUUAUGAUAACCUUAGGGUAUAUUUUGGUAUCCUGGAGCCAAUCCUUCCACCGUCGUGCCUUUUCCAAAUUUCUUGGCUUCCCCUAUGGGUUUUCACCUCCGCUCGAUAUUUUAAAAGGAUCAGUUUUAUUGAGGCAUCGCUUACAUACAACAAAAUUAGUGGGAAAUAAAGUUAUUGUACAAUUCGAUGGGGUGUGACA
rnacentral:lncRNA from 1 species